AAGCUUACUUCUAUUAUGGAGAGUUUGAUCCUGGCUCAGGAUGAACGCUGGCGGCGUGCCUAAUACAUGCAAGUCGAGCGAACAGAUGAGAAGCUUGCUUCUCU
rnacentral:rRNA from 1 species